UACGAAGGGGGCUAGCGUUGCUCGGAAUGACUGGGCGUAAAGGGCGCGUAGGCGGAUGGCACAGUCAGAUGUGAAAUUCCCGGGCUUAACCUGGGGGCUGCAUUUGAUACGUGUUGUCUUGAGUUCGGAAGAGGGUCGUGGAAUUCCCAGUGUAGAGGUGAAAUUCGUAGAUAUUCGGCGGAACACCAGUGGCGAAGGCGACUCACUGGCCCGAUACUGACGCUGAGGCGCGAAAGCGUGGGGAGCAAACAGGG
rnacentral:rRNA from 1 species